AGUGGGAAAGAAAGCCAUGGGGAUCAUAUUCAUCAGAUGUUAAAGCUCAUCAGACAAAUGUCUUCUUCACUGCAGCCUCAACUAAGCAGAGCUUUUCAGUGGUGAGAACCACAGCAGGCUUAGCUGGACCCAAAAUCAUUCGGUUGUGUCUUCUCAGGAGGCUUUGUCACCCCACUCCUCUGCUGGGACCACAGGAGCUUCAGUAUUGCAUAAGCAACCUCCUCCACCUACAAAAGCAGCCCCUGCUUGCAACAGAGCAGAAGCUGGGAGGUAUCAAGCCUGAGAAAACUCCAGCCAUGGCCUUUCAUCUGUGCCAUCUUGGUCCCUGGCUCACCCCUUCGCUGAUCUGAAGCAGUUAUGUGCUCAGUGGCUAAAGUGACACCUUGAAAUGCAGAGAAAGGAGAGGUAAAUGUAUUAUUUAGCUGUAGGAGCAGCUAUUUUUAAGGAGCAUAACAUAUAAAACCUUAAUAAAGAAAAGAUAUUUCA